CUGCAAUGAUGGCAUUUCUUAGGACACCUUUGAAUUAACUAUGAAAACAACUACUCUCUGAGCAGC